rnacentral:lncRNA from 1 species
AUGGAAGACCUCAUUGAUAACACAAAAGAGUAUUUUACAAUUCUUCCAAUGAAGAAGCAAGCAGCACACAAGGUUCUGCUGGAGUCCAGCUAUUGCCGGAUUUGCUUCCUCUACCUCAAGACGCUGCUGAAGACUGACCACACACGUCUGCUGGAGAAGUGGGGAGAUGUGGAAGGAAGGAUGGAACAGGAUGCCGGGAUCUUGCAUGCUGCAUUUUCCCAGCUGAGUCCCAAUGUGAAGCAGUGGAGCGUGGUGCUGCUGAGAGUGGCGGAGAUGCUGAGAGUGAGCGAUGAGGACGCUCUGAAGCAGCUGGGCAGUUUCCUCUUGAGAGACAUCCCCGAAGUGAGCAAGCGCCAGCUGCGCUCCCUGCUGCAGUGGAAGGGCAGCCUGUCCGCCCGGCAGGUGACCGCCGUCCUGGGGGCGUGUGAGGAGGUCAGGGUGUGGCUCAGGCAGACCUCUGACCCCCAGGACCCUCAGGACCCACUCGACCCCAAACCUCUUCGCUGGGGCUGCUGCUUUUCCUGCCUUUGGUGACGCGUCUCCACGCGGCCCACCGCAGCCCUCGCCUCCUCCAGAGUGGACAUUCGUGAGCCCCACCCCCACGGCUGUGCUUCGCCACAUCUGUCCGCUCUGCGCCUGCCAUCCUUGUGUCCUACCGAGCCUCACAGCAUGCUGGCUGAGUUCUUCUUUCCUCCAAUGGAGGACCCCAGGCGUUAAAGCAGUAUAUAUUUUUUUUUCUAUUUGAGAAAAGCCUUGUUGUAUUUGUGCUUCACACAAUGCCUUUGUAAACAUUCAUCUGAAACGUGCUGUAAACCCUGUUGCGGGGGUGUGUUGACUGUACUGUAUGUAUGGGAAAGGGCGGUGGGGAGAUUAACUACUGUCAUGAGUGGGGAGGAGGCAGACUGUGUCCCGGCUGGCAGGGGUUCUUCCAUCAGGAAUCCCGCACAUCAUGGGCAGUCCGACACAGGCGCCAGCCGGAUUUCUGUAGCCCUGUGGAAUUCUGUAUCCGCACAGAACACAGGAUCUGUAUCCUGUAGGCCGUUGGAUUUCAGGGCACUGAGUCCGAGAGACUUUCGGUACCUCCUUUCUUGCCAUUUCCUCCCCCAGGCCAGUCUCAGUGCGGCUCUGGAGGUUCAGUUUCACCCACUCGAGUUAGAAGUAGCGGCAGUGGUUUGGUCAGCGAUGCCAUUAAGGAUCUGGCUACAGCAAAGCCUUGGACUGGAUCAAGGUGGAAGUUGUCUCCCCCUGCUGUAGGAUGCAGAAAAUAAUAAUAAUCAUUUACAGGUAAUGGGGACUCCUCUCCAUCACCAAUGUGUGGCCCCACCUGGAUUAAUAAUAAUAAUUAAUAAUUGUUUACACUUAUAUAGCGCUUUUCUGGACACUCCACUCAAAGUACUUUAAAGGUAAUGGGGACUCCCGUCCACCACCACCAAUGUGCAGCAUCCAUGGAUGAUGCAAUGGCAGCCAUAGUGCGCCAGAACGCUCACCACACAUCAGCUAUCAGUGGGGAGGAGAGCAGAGUGAUGAAGCCAGUUCAGAGAGGGGGAUUUUUAGGAGCCCAUCAGUGGUAAAGGCCAGCACAUUGGGCCCCUACAUUUGUUUUUAAAAACACCCUGGGAUUUUUAAUGCCCACAGGGAGUCAGAACCUCAGUUUAGGUCUCAUCCAAAGGACAGUGUCUUUUUUACAGUAUAGUGUCCCCAAUCACAGUACUGGGGCAUUAGAACCCACACCCUCCAGUGGGCUGCCAGCUGUGAGUUGCCAGGUGAUACAGCUGCUGGGAUGAACCCUGGGAAUUUGAGAGCCUGACUUCUGACAGCCCUCCUGGCUGGAUCCCUGACCCAGUCCAAAGCUAGAGGGCAUUUCUCAUUGGUGUGAAGCUGCACCAGCUCUCUACACAGGGACAGAUUCUGUCCAGAACCCUGAUUUAUGGUGACAGAGCCUAUCGAUAGUUCUGAAGUCCGGGACCAGUACCUUCCUGGCUCGUCUUCUCUCCCUCAGUGCAGUGAGACUCAUGCUGUACUUAUCUACUAUUCUGCCCUACUCCUCCUACUAUCUUUCUGAGACGGGCAGAGUUUGCACAACCUCUGUAAAUAAGGUACUUUUAUUGUUCAAUGUCAUUUUUUAACAAAUCUGCACGGUGCAUGUGUUGGAUUAUGACACCGAAAGUGUGAAGUUUUGCACAUUUGUUUUCACACUGUGAUUGCUGUGCUGCUGAAAGGAAUAUAAUUUUAUUUAUGGCUAACAGCUG